ACCCUUCUAAAAAAGCACUUGUUGGGUCUGUGCGCAGUGGCUCAGCGAGUUGUCGUGGAAGGGCAGAGUAAAGCCAUCGCUUUUGGGUGAAGUGGCAGCUUGUGCUGUUCAUUUCAAUCAGUGGUGUGACAUCU
rfam:Balearica pavonina gibbericeps contig1510, whole genome shotgun sequence.